rnacentral:rRNA from 1 species
UACGAGGGGUCCUAGCGUUGCUCGGAAUCAUUGGGCGUAAAGCGGGUGUAGGUGGACAACUAAGUCAGAUGUGAAAGCCCCGGGCUCAACCCGGGAAGUGCAUUUGAAACUGGUUAUCUUGAGUGCAGUAGAGGAAGGUGGAAUUCCAAGUGUAGUGGUGAAAUACGUAGAUAUUUGGAGGAACAUCGGUGGCGAAGGCGACCUUCUGGACUGUUACUGACACUGAGACCCGAAAGCGUGGGGAUCAAACAGG